GGAAUCUAGAUAUUUAUAAACAUUGAUCAAAGCAGUUGGAUAAGGCCAGACUCUUUUCAGCGGUGCGUAGUGACAGGACCAGGAGCAAUGGCCAAAAACCUAGAACGCAAGAAGUUCUACACAAAUAUGCAGAACAUCUUUAAGGUGAGGGUGACAGAGCACAACAGGCUGCCCAGGGAGGUUGUGGAGUCUCCUUUUUUGGAGAUAUUCAAGACCUUGUGCAACCUACUAUGGGGAACCUGCUUUAGUAGGGGACUACUCUGUCUGUAGAGGUCCCUUACAACCUCUGCAGUUCUGCAAUUCUGUCAGGAACAGCACAGACUGGUCCCAUAGACAGCAGGAGCUCAGGAAUAAGUCUAAAUCCAACAGCAACUUAGCCUACCCCAUGCUCUGGGUCAUCCAGGCACAGGCAACCUGAGCCCAGGCAAGGACAUAGAUGACCGGGGAUCCACUGGAGUCUCCCACCUGCCUUCAGCCAGUGGAAGGCCACUUAACUCACUCUAAGCAUCUCCAACCCCUCAUAGCCCAUGGGCUGGUGGCACCCAGGGCUGGGAGAAGUGUCUCCUUGCAGGCAGCUCCAGAGAUGAAGUAAGCACACAGGAACAGGACAAAAAACACAGAGACAAAUUCAGAGACUUAAAAUCCCAUUCAUAAAAAAUACAUUAACUAUACAGUGUACAUCAUUGUUACAGUAUUAACAGCAGAAAUCAGGGCAGAGGCACUUGGGGUCCAGGCAGGGGCCUUAUUUGCAGAUACCCAUGAGAAGCAACAGGCCAGCAAUGGCUGCCACUGCCUGACACACUGCUGCAGGAGCAGGCUUCCCAAACCAGGAGAGGACACCAAGGUAUCAAUGAAGCACUGCAAGUUGAUCUUUGCCCAUAUCAGCAUCAUGCCACUGUUGAAUCCAGAGGAUAAACUCCCCAGAUCCACUUGGUCAGCAGCCACCAGCCCCCCUUUCAGGGCAUAGCCUGAUGCCCUCACCAAGAGGGUUUCAUAUCUUAGUGCCAGCAGAGUCCUGUCCUGCACAUGGGAGCAGACUGAAGCUCAACAAUUAAAGCAGAGCUGACCAUGCCAUCAUUCACAGCUGUCAGCCAGCAGACCUCAGCAGAUCUUGCGGCAGGCCCAAGGCAAGGAUCAAAGUGCUGUUCCAUGGUUGUGUCCACAACAUUGAGGACCAUCCUAAGGCUCCCACUGCCUUUAUGCCAGCCUGCCCUGCCCAGACCCCAGGGUCUGAUGAGCUCCUCCUUCUCCUUGGCUGGGGGUGCCAUGGACACGCAAAGCUGAACACACAGGCCUAAGCUUGCCAGUGCCAUGUGACUGGCACAAGCACAGCUGUCCCAGCACCCCAACCCCACAGCACCAGAAACACAUCCCAGUUCUCCAGCUGCUGGAGCAAGAAGCAGUUGUCGAGGCAGGAUCAGUCCAUGUUUGUGGCUGGGAUUGCCCUUCCCUGGCAUGAAGUAGCAUGUCACAGCACACAGGAGCUGUUAUCCACUCAGCUGCAGGAUGGCAGGGACACAGAAGCAUGGGGUACAUCAGGGAGGCACGAGGUGUAUCUGCCGUGGAUCCUCCUCCAAACUUUCCACCAAAACCACAUCUUACAUCUCUGCAGGACAAACAAUGAGAUAGAAAAG
ensembl:lncRNA